GAAUAUUGCGCAAUGGGCGACAGCCUGACGCAGCGACGCCUCGUGGGGGAUGAAGGUCUUCGGAUUGUAAACCCCUUUCGGGAGGGAAGAGGGAAUGGGGUAACCCAUUCGGACGGUACCGCCAGAAGCAGCGACGGCUAACUUCGUGCCAGCAGCCGCGGUAAUACGAAGGUGGCAAGCGUUGUUCGGAUUCACUGGGCGUACCGGGAGCGUAGGCGGUUGGGUAAGCCCUCCGUGAAAUCUCCGGGCCUAACCCGGAAAGUGCAGAGGGGACUGCUCGGCUUGAGGACGGGAGAGGAGCGCGGAAUUCCCGGUGUAGCGGUGAAAUGCGUAGAGAUCGGGAGGAAGGCCGGUGGCGAAGGCGGCGCUCUAGAACGUUUCUGACGCUGAGGCUCGAAAGCGUGGGGAGCAAACAGG
rnacentral:rRNA from 1 species